rnacentral:rRNA from 1 species
UCGAACGCUUCUUUUCCCACCGGAGCUUGCUCCACCGGGAAAAGAGGAGUGGCGAACGGGUGAGUAACACGUGGGUAACCUGCCCAUCAGAAGGGGAUAACACUUGGAAACAGGUGCUAAUACCGUAUAACAAUCGAAACCGCAUGGUUUCGUUUUGAAAGGCGCUUUACGGUGCCGCUGAUGGAUGGACCCGCGGUGCAUUAGCUAGUUGGUGAGGUAACGGCUCACCAAGGCCACGAUGCAUAGCCGACCUGAGAGGGUGAUCGGCCACAUUGGGACUGAGACACGGCCCAAACUCCUACGGGAGGCAGCAGUAGGGAAUCUUCGGCAAUGGACGAAAGUCUGACCGAGCAACGCCGCGUGAGUGAAGAAGGUUUUCGGAUCGUAAAACUCUGUUGUUAGAGAAGAACAAGGGUGAGAGUAACUGUUCACCCCUUGACGGUAUCUAACCAGAAAGCCACGGCUAACUACGUGCCAGCAGCCGCGGUAAUACGUAGGUGGCAAGCGUUGUCCGGAUUUAUUGGGCGUAAAGCGAGCGCAGGCGGUUUCUUAAGUCUGAUGUGAAAGCCCCCGGCUCAACCGGGGAGGGUCAUUGGAAACUGGGAGACUUGAGUGCAGAAGAGGAGAGUGGAAUUCCAUGUGUAGCGGUGAAAUGCGUAGAUAUAUGGAGGAACACCAGUGGCGAAGGCGGCUCUCUGGUCUGUAACUGACGCUGAGGCUCGAAAGCGUGGGGAGCAAACAGGAUUAGAUACCCUGGUAGUCCACGCCGUAAACGAUGAGUGCUAAGUGUUGGAGGGUUUCCGCCCUUCAGUGCUGCAGCUAACGCAUUAAGCACUCCGCCUGGGGAGUACGACCGCAAGGUUGAAACUCAAAGGAAUUGACGGGGGCCCGCACAAGCGGUGGAGCAUGUGGUUUAAUUCGAAGCAACGCGAAGAACCUUACCAGGUCUUGACAUCCUUUGACCACUCUAGAGAUAGAGCUUCCCCUUCGGGGGCAAAGUGACAGGUGGUGCAUGGUUGUCGUCAGCUCGUGUCGUGAGAUGUUGGGUUAAGUCCCGCAACGAGCGCAACCCUUAUUGUUAGUUGCCAUCAUUUAGUUGGGCACUCUAGCAAGACUGCCGGUGACAAACCGGAGGAAGGUGGGGAUGACGUCAAAUCAUCAUGCCCCUUAUGACCUGGGCUACACACGUGCUACAAUGGGAAGUACAACGAGUCGCGAAGUCGCGAGGCUAAGCUAAUCUCUUAAAGCUUCUCUCAGUUCGGAUUGUAGGCUGCAACUCGCCUACAUGAAGCCGGAAUCGCUAGUAAUCGCGGAUCAGCACGCCGCGGUGAAUACGUUCCCGGGCCUUGUACACACCGCCCGUCACACCACGAGAGUUUGUAACACCCGAAGUCGGUGAGGUAACCUUUUGGAGCCAGG